GUCAAACACCAAGACGGUAUGGUCCACAGUGUCAAACACCAAGACGGUAUGGUCCACAGUGUCAAACACCAAGACGGUCUGGUCCCCAGUGUCAAACACCAAGACGGUCUGGUUCUGGUCAUAGUCACAUCCUGAUUCAGAAGACAGUCUGAUUUCAGGUCAUAGUCACACCCUGAUUCAGAAGGCAGUAUUCUGAUUUCAGGUCAUAGUCACACCCUGAUUCAGAAGGCAGUAUUCUGAUUUCAGGUCAUAGUCACACCCUGAUUCAGAAGGCAGUAUUCUGAUUUCAGGUCAUAGUCACACCCUGAUUCAGAAGGCAGUAUUUGGAUUUCAGGUCAUAGCCACACCCUGAUUCAGAAGGCGGUGUUAAAAGCCCUCCAAUCAUCAGCUGAAUUAGAUCGUCUUGCUUUAGCCCACACUGCUUUCCGUUUCCUUCUGAUUUCAGCCAGUUCAUCAGAGAACCAUCCCUUCAUUCUGUAUUGGUGGCUUGUAAAUGUGAACUUUGUAGAGGUGUGGAGUGUCAGGGGUUCUAUGUACAGUGGACCAGGACAGGGGACCAGGACAGGGGUACAGGGGACCAGGACAGGGGUACAGGGGACCAGGACAGGGGUACAGGGGAACAGCACAGGGGUACAGGGGAACAGGACAGGGGUACAGGGGCCCAGGACAGGGGUACAGGGGCCCAGGACAGGGGUACAGGGGCCCAGCACAGGGGUACAGGGGAAC
ensembl:lncRNA